rnacentral:lncRNA from 1 species
GACAUAAUCCUUUAUCCAUCUUCCUCUGCAUGUCAUCAUCGGCUGCUUAAUUUUACUAAAUUCGCUCGAUUUCUAAAUGGGCUGAUUGUCUGACUGUUCUCCUCUUUUUUGUCUUCGAAUGGCUGGUCUUUUCUCUAUCUGGGUCUUCUAUUGAGCCUUUCUAUCACUGCUACCUUCCGAAUGGACCACCCGAAUGCUGAAGAUGAUGCUCGCCUGGCAGCUUUAUGUAGUCGAAUGGGACGCCUUUGGUCCGAUCAGUCAAUUGAGAUCUGUGAUGAGGGCAUACCUCGUGAAAAAAUUGAGGAAUGUCAACUCACCCUGGUUGGUAAGCUUCUCCAUAAUCCAACAGUAAAUUUUCCGGCUUUUCAGACGACCAUGAAAAAAGCUUGGCGCACUGAACUUGUGGACUUCUCACAAGCUGAUUCUGGACUUUUUAUUAUCAAGUUUAAAUCAUCUGAUGUCAUGCAUCGAGUUAUUGAUAACGGACCUUGGUUGUUUGGUAAUCAUCUCCUUAUCUUGAAAUCCUGGAUAGCCAACACGCCACUAUCUUGUUAUGAUUUUAGUACUUGUGCGUUCUGGGUCCAAAUAGUUGGUUUGCCUUUGGAACGCUGCACAGAAAAUAUCAUUCAACGGGCAGCAGGUCAUAUAGGAAAAGUUACAGAAGUCAGUAUUCAUAAUAAAGAUGGAAUUCUGCUUAAAUCAAUGAGAGCAAGAGUAGAAGUGGACCUCCAACAACCGCUGAAAACAGGGAUUAUCCUUA